ACGUCUGUAGUGUCAAUGGUAGCACAAGUGAUUCCAAACCACUAGGUCAGGGUUCAAAUCCUUGCAGGCGUGCCA
rnacentral:tRNA from 1 species